rnacentral:rRNA from 1 species
AUGCAGCUGGACAAGGCCACCGGCGCCAAGUGCUUCACGUUUUCGGCCAGCGCGCUACACAUCACCCAAGCUAAUGAUGCACACGCGCCCUUGAUACGUGUAGGUUCAGUGCCGGGUUACAGCAAAAGAGGCAAAAGGUUCUCACAAGCAGCUGACAUCGGCCAUGUUAACAUACUCGAGAUAUGUGCCAAGAUACGGAGAAACAUGCUCUCUCAAAACACAACCUACGUGGCAUACAUGGUGUUCAAGCUAGGACCCAGAUUUUACAGCUUUGAUUUCCCGUUUCAAGAAGCCUCAUUUGGAGUUGCUGGGAGACAGUCGACCCGGCAGGUUUGCCUGCAAGGCUAUGUCGAGGACGGUGAUGGAGCCGAUGUUCCACCUCGGAAACACAUCGUGCCAAGUUCUUACAGUAUAUAUAAUCAUGACGAGGUUCCUCCUCAAAAGAACGUUGUUUUCCCACGUAAGAAAGCCGGCGGUUGGAUGGAGGUGGAGCUUGGUGAGUUCCAUAAUGAGGGAGGUGACGGUGAGGUCUCCAUCAGCUUGACCGAGACAACAAAACCCAAGAGUGGCCUUAUUGUCUGGGGCAUUGUGAUAGUAAGAAGUACUCCCUCCGUUUCGAAUUACUUGUCUUGA